rnacentral:piRNA from 1 species
GCAUUACUGUAUAAUGACUCCAAAACAUA